rnacentral:rRNA from 1 species
AUUGAACGCUGGCGGCAGGCCUAACACAUGCAAGUCGAACGAGUGGCGGAAGGGUGAGUAAUGUCUGGGAAACUGCCCGAUGGAGGGGGAUAACUACUGGAAACGGUAGCUAAUACCGCAUACCAUCGGAUUUGCCCAGAUUGGAUUAGCGAGUAGGCGGGGUAACGGCCCACCUAGGCGACGCUCGCUAGCUGGUCUGAGAGGCUGACCAGCCACAUUGGAACUGGGACACGGUCCAGACUCCUACGUGAGGCAGCAGUGGGGAAUAUUGCACAAUGGGCGCAAGCCUGAUGCAGCCAUGCCGCGUGUAUGAAGAAGGCCUUCGGGUUGUAAAGUACUUUCAGCGGGGAGGCGUUACCCGCAGAAGAAGCACCGGCUAACUCCGUGCCAGCAGCCGCGGUAAUUC